GAAAUGCGAUAAGUAAUGUGAAUUGCAGAAUUCAGUGAAUCAUCGAAUCUUUGAACGCACAUUGCGCCCGCCAGUAUUCUGGCGGGCAUGCCUGUUCGAGCGUCAUUUCGACCCUCGGGCCCCCCCUCUCUGGGGGGGAGGCCCGGUGUUGGGGGAUCUGCGGCAGUCGCCGCAGCCCCCGAAAUCCAGUGGCGGUCCCGACCGAGUCCCCGAGCGCAGUAACACCCCUCGCUCGCGGUGUCCGGCGGGCCACCGGCCGUAAAACCCGCGGGCGCCCCAGGGCCCCGCAACCACCAAGGUUGACCUCGGAUCAGGUAGGAAUACCCGCUGAACUUAA
rnacentral:misc_RNA from 1 species